UGGGGAAUAUUGGACAAUGGGCGAAAGCCUGAUCCAGCCAUGCCGCGUGUGUGAAGAAGGUCUUCGGAUUGUAAAGCACUUUAAGUUGGGAGGAAGGGCAGUAAGCGAAUACCUUGCUGUUUUGACGUUACCGACAGAAUAAGCACCGGCUAACUCUGUGCCAGCAGCCGCGGUAAUACAGAGGGUGCAAGCGUUAAUCGGAAUUACUGGGCGUAAAGCGCGCGUAGGUGGUUCGUUAAGUUGAAUGUGAAAGCCCCGGGCUCAACCUGGGAACUGCAUCCAAAACUGGCGAGCUAGAGUAGGGCAGAGGGUGGUGGAAUUUCCUGUGUAGCGGUGAAAUGCGUAGAUAUAGGAAGGAACACCAGUGGCGAAGGCGAUCACCUGGGCUCAUACUGACACUGAGGUGCGAAAGCGUGGGGAGCAAACAGG
rnacentral:rRNA from 1 species